rnacentral:tRNA from 2 species
GGGGCUGUAGCUCAGUUGGUAGAGCGCCUGCUUUGCAAGCAGGAUGUCAGGAGUUCGAGUCUCCUCAGCUCCACCA